rnacentral:misc_RNA from 1 species
UGAAUGCAAGUUAAAUGAAAAUGAAAUGUAAAAAGCUAGCUUAAUGGAUUUCAUUUCAGUUAUAUUUGUAGUUAAAUGGAUUCUGUAGUGGAGGAGCUGUACGUUGGAGCUCAAUAUGAGCAAAUGCAUGAGUUGUAACAGGGCAUCGAAUAAAAAAUUCCAGAAAUUCUCUCUCUCUAAUCCUAAUUCUCUCUGUAACUCCUUUCCUUUCUUCUAAUUCUUCUCACCUUUCCUCUAUUUCCUUGUUAAACAAUCACACCUUAAUUGAGCUUGAGCUUAAUGAGUUGAGGUCCAAACAUAAUGGAUCUAAAACUCUUCAAGGAUACUAGAGGGUACACUUGCGGCAGAUGCCGACGACGAUUAUACCCAAAGACAACAAAUGUUGCAGACAUCCAAUGCCCAUCAUGCGAAAGAGUUACUUCUAGCAAUCCACGUCAAACAAAUGAACGAACCAGCAAUAAUAAGUUAGAUGGCAGAUUUUCUAGCACAGAAUUUUACGUUGUCGCAAAAAUCAAGGAGAAGUUUUUAGGGAGGCAUCAUCGCGAAGACAGUGAUACAGAAAAACCCAAGCCAUUGAAUUGGAGUCCUUCCCCAUUGGAAUCAUCAUCAACUUCUCUAUCUUAUCCGAGACCGAGAAAGCGAGCGGUGCUUAUUGGAGUCACUUAUAAGAAAUCGAAGCACAAGCUUACGGGAACUGUUAAUGAUGUCAGGAAUAUAAGAAAUUUGUUGAUCGAAAGUUUCUGUUUCCAUCCACAGAGCAUCCUCGUUCUUACAGAAGAGGAGACAGAACCACAUCUAAAUCCCACAAAGAAAAACAUCGAGAUAUCCUUAAAAUGGCUUGUACAGGAUUGCCAGGCUGGUGACUCACUGGUGUUUUUUUUCUCCGGCCAUGGCUCGCGACAACGGGAUUUUAAUUUUGAUGAACGUGAUGGGUUUGAUGAAACUAUUUGUCCAGUUGAUUUCUUGAAAGAAGGAAUAAUUCUUGAUAAUUAUAUUAAUUCCACCAUUGCUCAGCCGCUUCCUCGAGGCGUCAUUCUUCAUGCUAUUGUUGAUGCUUGUCAUAGCGGAACGAUCCUCGAUCUUGUUCAUGUUUACAACAGAGAAAGAAGGCAAUGGGAAGAUAAUAGUCCUCCAAAUGGUACACGGAAACAUACAAAUGGUGGAUUUGCAAUUUCUAUCAGUGCUUGUGAAGAUAACCAAAUGGCUGCCGAUACCGGGGUUUUCACAGAAAAGGAAAGGAAUGGUGCUCUGACUUAUAUUCUAGUAGAAAUAGUGAAGAAAUGUCCAGGGGCCACAUACGGUGACAUACUUGACAUGAUUCAUGAAACCAUUGAUGCAGUCAAUAAUAGUGGAUCCCUUUUUUCAAGAAUCUUAAGAUCAAAGUCACACGAAAAGUUAUUACAGGUUCAUAAUUAGUUAGAUUCCAUUCCAUUCACCAUCUCUUAUGGAUAUGACAUAAUAAAAAUACAAACAAUUUUUCCAGAAAUAAUCAAGUUUUCGCACAAGCCCUCUAACUUAAAUGAUGUGUUUUCUAUGAAGCCCGUUCAUGAUAAUACUUUAUUGUUUGUCAAGCCACACAUUGUGAUAUGAUUUCUGAUAUAUUGCUAUUUGAUGCAUGCAGAAGCCUCAACUUUCAGCUUCAGAACCAUUUGAUGUUAUGAGGAAACAUUUUAUUUUGUAAUCAUAAAAGUAUCACUUGCCAUUGAGCGUGAUAAUCUAUUGGUUAACUUAGUGAGAUGGGCUUGUCCCGCUUGAUUUGACUCCCCACACUAGCUAAAUAUUAUCUUUGCUUAUGAAUGCAAUUGAAAGAGGCAACGGAUUGUCUAAUAGUUUGUCUCAUUGGAUGCUACAUUGAAUUCGAUAAUAGGUCCCUUCCUACGAAAUUAGAUUAAAUCAAAGACGUCAACCGGUGACUCCAACCUUAAUCUCAAUUUGAUUUGAACAUUAAUCGAUUCAAAUUGAUUGACUACUGUAAUCCGCUUAAAUAUGUAACCUAAAUAAUCGAAUCAAUUUACUAUCUCUAUCCAUAGUUAUUGGAGAAUCCCAAUUCUCAAAGGAGAUGCCAUUGGCCACUUCUUUUAAUUGA